AACCCAUGGUAAGGGCACCUUCUCAAUAAACCCUUGUAUCUCUCCCAUGCAUCAUAUACUGUUUUUAAAUCCAUCUACACAAAAGAAGAGAUAUCAUUCCUCAUUU
rnacentral:snoRNA from 1 species